CAAUCAACCGCGGAGUACCGCGUCAAGUCAGGCUCGAGGUGAAGGACGUCUCACAACACCUCAGCCUUAAGUCCACGCGACACUAGGUCCAUCACAGGGAGAGGAGAACCGUCGAUCCCCGUGACCCUAAGUCGCUCAAGCUCAACGGGCGAGGAGAACCGUCAAACCCGUUAGCUCCGGGAGAGGAGAACCGUCAAUCCCGUUGAAUCACUACCGGGAGAGGAGAACCGUCUAUCCCGUAGUUUCGAUUCACUUCACUUGUUUUAUGGCAUACCGGGAGAGGAGAACCGUCAAUCCCGUUGAAUCACUACCGGGAGAGGAGAACCGUCGAUCCCGUAGUUAAGAUUCUAUUUCUGCCAUCACACCAUUCCUAAGGAUUCCGGAAUCCAUUUUCACCACUUAAGGGUUUACUCACUGACCCUAUGUUGACGACCUUCCUAGGUCUAUAUCAUUCAUUUUCUAGUGGUCCUAUUGCCACUAUAACUCAUCGCUUAAUUCAAUUUUACUAAAAGUCACUCUAACUCAUAACCUAGGUUCUUUUACACUAGGUUUCAUAUUCUUUCACCUAGAUCUCGACUCUAGGUUUACUAAUUCAACCUAUGUUCGUUGACAGUAGGUUUAUUUCAUGUCCAACCUAUGUUU
rnacentral:lncRNA from 1 species